AGGAGGUUCGGAGAAUUGUGAGUCAGUGCUCUAUGGAGGGUCGGUAUUCAUGAAAGUAUGUACGGCACGGAGGAAGGAUUUGCUCGAGAACGCCGUUCCUGAGUAAACUACUACUAAGGUAAGCGAUAUAUAUAUGGCGAUGACGUCUAUUUACAAACCGGUACUUCUCGACAACUAAAGGUUAGCAAAUAGUUUGUUGCGUACUGAAUAAUAAUUUUGCCUGAUAAGUCUAACUAGUUUGCAAAAAAAAAAAAAGAAAAGAAAAGAAAAAAAAUUCAUGAUAUAUUGUAUCAAAUGGAUGCAAAAUUGCUCAUGCAUUGGCCUCCCGGAUUUGUUCCCCAGAAACCCACCAGUGAGUGGAUUUAUUUCUUUUUCUGACACCUACUUCAACUAAUGGG
rnacentral:sRNA from 1 species